rnacentral:tRNA from 1 species
AGAGGAGUGGCCGAGUGGUUUAAGGCACCGGUCUUGAAAAUCGGCAAUGUGUAUAACGUUCUAGAGUUCGAAUCUCUACUCCUCUA